GCCGGCGUACUCAAGUGGCUGAAGAGAAUGGUCUUGAAAACCAUGAGGGGUGUAAAAGCUCGCGAGCGUUCGAAUCGUUCCGCCGGCGCCA
rnacentral:tRNA from 1 species